GCCUCCAUAGCUCAGUGGUAGAGCACUGGUGUUGUAAACCAGCGGUCGUGAGUUCAAUCCUCACUGGCGGCA
rnacentral:tRNA from 1 species